CUGUUUUCUGGAUUAAUUUCAGCUGUGUGUAUGCGUGUGUGUGUAUAUAUAUGUGUGUGUGUGUGUGUGUGUGUGUGUGUGUGUGUGUGUGUGUGUGUGUGUAUAUCUAUGUGUGUGUGUGUGUGUGUGUGUGUGUGUCCGCCUCUAUUCCAUGAUAAAUAGCAUUAUAUUCUCUCUUCUCUUCUCCCCUUUUGCUAUUAAGUAUCAAGUAUUUUCCAGGUAUUUCCAGUGUUUUCCAGGUAGUGUCGUAGGUUGAAGCCAGACCUCUGCUACCUGUCACUACUAAACUCACCUUAAUUGACCUCCUGUGCCUCUGUGGUCCCGUUCCCUGGUGUUUAAAUGAAAAGAGGACACACACACACAACCGCACUGCACGGUGUUUCCCAGGUACACUGAGGAAGACAAUAAAAAAUAAAUAAAUCUGCUGUCUCUCAAUAUUUAUCGUAAUUUACAGUGUUUUGUUGUGUGAGGAGCAGACUACUGGGGUGAUUUGUGCACAGGUGGACUUGGAAUCUCUCAGGGGAAACUACAUGUAGUAAUUGAAUUAAAAUGGCUAGAACCAGAGGAUGGGGUUGUGCGUCCCCGGGAGUUCAGAGGGUGCCGGCGCUUCAACUGAUGGUGUGGACCCAUGAGACAGAGGCUCCACCAGGUGGUAACACAAGCAGCGGGUGGAAGAGACCUUGGGAGACUUCCGUAACUCAGAAGCAAGAAGCAAACCUCACUGGAGCCUUGUGACUGACUGGUGGUUUUGACUGCAGGCACCAACAUUCAGGUGGCCAUCAGGGACGUGAGAGGCCUCCAGCAGUAUGCCUGGAGAUACUUGUGUGUGGAUGAGGGAUGCAGACUCAAGAACCACAAGUGUAGGCUGACCAAGGUAACAGGGACGUGAGGGGUCUCCUGCAGCAUGCCUGAAGAUACUUGUGUGUGGACGAGGGACACACACUCAAGAACCACAAGUCCCUGAACACCCUUUCCCCCAUGAACUGGCUGCUGUUUACUGGGACAACCCUUGCAGAACAGCCUGGCGGAGCUCUGGGCCCUUCUGAACUUCCUAAUGCUGGAUAAUUUUGAGUCCUUGUCCAAUGUGAGUGAGAUGCAGGAGGGAAGUGAGGAGAGGGACU